GCCUUCGUGGUGUAGUGGUCAGCACGCUCGACGCGUAUUCGAGAGGUCCGUGGUUCAAGUCCCGGCGAGGGCA
rnacentral:tRNA from 1 species